CAAAGCAAUCGGUAGAUUCAUUAAGGGUGCUUAGGUAAAUUAACUAUCUAACAAUUUAGUUCUACUAUUUUCCAUUUUGAUUUUAGUUUGGGCUUGGUUAAACUAUCAUACUAUAAGCCCACGUUUCCUAACCGUAUUUGUAUGUUGAUAUUUUAACAAGUCUUCAAUCAUAAUUAUUAUUUUUGGUCCAAAUCAAACAACCACAAUAACCAAUCUAAACCGGGUAUAAUUUCACUGUCAUCAUACGAAACAUACACAUGUCAAAGCAUAGGAAAGCAACAAUAUUACAAUUUUGAUACAUGCGUGAAAACUAUUAAAAGUUACUGGGUGCUAAUCCAUAAAAGAUGAAUCUAAACCAC
rnacentral:lncRNA from 1 species